rnacentral:lncRNA from 1 species
AUUUUUAUGCUUUCAAUAUUCCUUUCAGAUUGUUGCUACCGUCCUUCUUGGACUUGUGCUGACUCCAGCUCUUUCUCAAUUCCAAUAUCAGGAUGGGAAAGGAAUUAGGAGACAGUUCCCUAGGACAAUCACCAUCAAUGUUGGCCUCAGCUUCCAAACUCUGACCAUUGAUAGCAGCUCCCUCGUGGCAAUUAUUGAGGCAAACUCAGCUGAGAAUGCAUGGACAUCUGUUUGGAACUACCAAACUGGCUACAUUGCAACCAAACUUGCAGGACAGGGAGUCUGCUACAUCUCUGCAAUGAACAGAGUCGUGAUGCCUGCUUUCAACUCAAUUGCUGUCCUUGCUGAAGAGACUAACAAUGUGAAAGGCGAAAGAGUGCUUUCAAGGACCAUCAGAUACGUUGUCUCUAGAAGACGUGCUCGUGAACUCGUGACUUACGGAAACGAUAUCUUCGCUCUCUGCAGAGGACUCCCAACCUACAUUGCUGUCGAAGAGUCACAGCAGGAGGGUGGAAACCAGGUCUUCUACAACCAAGACGCAUGCUACAGACUUGAUGUCCUGAAUCUUGUGGGCAUUGACUACUGCCGUGCUGGCAAAGUUUGAGCACCAUACCUUUCUUGAACCUAGUAUCAACGCCCAAUAACUGAACAAAGCCAUCCCUGAUACUAUUCUUCCCUGACAUCAUGUCUUUUGUGAGUUUUGUUCUUCAUGAUUCAGAUGUUGUAAGAGAUCAGACGGUGAUAGUAUCUUUCAAAUAAACACUUUUAGCAUGAAU